AACCCUGUGCGCAGUGGCAGUGUCGUAGCCAAUGAGGUUUACCCAAGGCGCGAUUAUUGCUAAUUGAAAACUUUCCCCCAAAAAGGCAAAGUAGAAUUGUUCCCUGGGGAGGAAAUGGAAUGAAAAGUUACUGAAAUUAUUCCACAAACCUUUUGAGUCCUUUCGUAUGU
rnacentral:snRNA from 1 species